rnacentral:rRNA from 1 species
UCCGGUUGAUCCUGCCGGACCCAACUGCUAUCGGAAUGAGACUAAGCCAUGCAAGUUGUACGUUUUUAACUAUGAAAAAACGUAGCAUACGGCUCAGUAAUACAUAGUUAAUUUGCCCUCUGGACAAUUAUAACGUCGGGAAACUGACGGGAAUGAUUGAUAGAGAAUAGAAUCUGGAAUGAUCUAUUCUCUAAAGGGUUAAAAAUCAUGUUUUUUAACUGCCAGAGGAUAGGACUAUGACCGAUCAGGUUGAUGGUGAGGUAAUGGCUCACCAUGCCUAUAACCGGUACGGGCCCUGAGAGGGGUAGCCCGGAGAUGGAUUCUGAGACAAGAAUCCAGGCCCUACGGGGCGCAGCAGGCGCGAAACCUCCGCAAUGCGCGAAAGCGUGACGGGGUUAUUCCGAGUGUUAGCCGCUGAGGCAAACUUUUACUUAGUUCAAAAGGCUUUGAGAAUAAGGGGAGGGCAAGAUUGGUGUCAGCCGCCGCGGUAAUACCAACUCCCCGAGUGGUUGGGAUGUUUACUGGGCUUAAAGCGUCCGUAGCCUGUUUUAUAAGUUCUCUGUUAAAUCCGAUGUCUCAAGCAUCGGGCUGCAGAGAAUACUGUAUAACUUGGGAAUGGAAGAAGCCGGCGGUACUUUUUGGGAAGGAGUAAAAUCCUCAGAUCCAAAAAGGACCACCAGUGGCGAAGGCGGCCGGCUAGGACAUGUCCGACGGUGAGGGACGAAAGCUGAGGUAGCGAUCCGGAUUAGAUACCCGGGUAGUCUCAGCUGUAAACGAUGCAGACUAGGUGUGUGAGCAAACAUGUGUUGCUCAUGUGCCGUAGAGAAAUUGUUAAGUCUGCCGCCUGGGAAGUACGGCCGCAAGGCUGAAACUUAAAGGAAUUGGCGGGGGAGCACCACAAGGGGUGAAUCUUGCGGUUUAAUUGGAGUCAACGCCCGGAAACUUACCUGGGGGGACAGCAGAAUGAAGGCCUAGCUGAAGACUAUGCUAGACAAGCUGAGAGGUGGUGCAUGGCCGUCGCCGGUUCGUACCGUGAGGUGUCCUGUUAAGUCAGGCAACGAACGAGACCCAUAUUUCUAGUUGCUAGAAUGAUUUCUCGAAAUUAUUAAGGAAACUAGUUAGACUGCCGCUGUAAAGCGGAGGAAGGAAUGGGCUACGGCAGGUCAGUAUGCCCUAAAUCCUCAGGGCCACACGCGAGAUGCAAUAGCAUGGACAAUGGGUUCUGACCUCGAAAGAGGUAAGAAAUCCUUAAACCAUGCUUCAGUUGGAAUUGAGGGCUGCAACCCGUCCUCAUGAACCUGGAAUCCCUAGUAACCGCGUGUCAUCAUCGCGCGGUGAAUACGUCCCCGCUCCUUGCACACACCGCCCGUCGCUUCAUCCGAGUUGAAUCUUGUUGAGGUUUUGUUAUUUUGACUAAAUCAAAACAGGGUUCGGUAAGGAGGAAGAAGUCGUAACAAGGUGGCCGUACGGGAACGUGCGGCCGGAUCACCUCCU